GACGAACGCUGGCGGCGUGCUUAACACAUGCAAGUCGAACGGAAAGGCCCUGCUUGCAGGGUACUCGAGUGGCGCACGGGUGAGUAACACGUGGGUGAUCUGCCCUGCACUUCGGGAUAAGCCUGGAGAACUCGGUCUAAUACCGGAUAGGAGCCAUUUUUAGUGUGAUGGUUGGAAAGUUUUUUCGGUGUAGGGUGAGCUCGCGGCCUAUUAGCUUGUUGGUGGGGUAAUGGGCUACCAAGGCGGCGACGGGUAGCCGGCCUGGGGGGGUGGACGGCCAACUUGGGAAUGAGAAACGGCCCAGACUCCUACGGGGGGGAGGAGGGGGGAAGAUUGGACAAAGGGCGGGAGCCUGAUGCAGCGACGCCGCGGGGGGGAUGAACGCCUUCGGGUUGGAAACUCGCUUCGCUAGGGACGAAGCUUUUUGUGACGGUACCUAGAUAAGAAGCACCGGCUAACUACGUG
rnacentral:rRNA from 1 species